rnacentral:rRNA from 1 species
UACGUAGGGUGCGAGCGUUGUCCGGAAUUAUUGGGCGUAAAGGGCUCGUAGGCGGUUUGUCGCGUCGGGAGUGAAAUCCACUGGCUUAACUGGUGGCUUGCUUUCGAUACGGGCAGACUGGAGGCAUGCAGGGGAGAACGGAAUUCCCGGUGUAGCAGUGAAAUGCGUAGAGAUCGGGAGGAACACCAGUGGCGAAGGCGGCUACCUGGACCAGCAUUGACACUCAAGCACGAAAGCGUGGGGAGCGAACAGG